UCCAGUUCUCUUCCAUCUCCAAAUAUCUGUUGGUGCUCCAGACAUUUUCAUUCCGCAAACCAGCCGAUGAAAUGGAUGAAACAUCGUGACUGGGUUCCAGCGCUACACAAGGGACCUGCUGCAAACAUACCACCAUGCCAAUCAGAUUACUUCUUCCAUGUGAGGGUGAAGAGGUGACCCUCCUGGAUAAGAUGGUGGAGGUUUGCUGCGUUUUGGUGAACAGUGUGAUAAUAAAACCAGGGAAGAAUGAAACCUGCUCCUGUUAAAUAUUCUUAAGUCUUGUGCUGUUAAAAUUACUGUAUUUUUUCAAAAGAUACAGUAAAUAAUGUUAGUAGUGGGUGAUGUCAUGUAAACACUCAUGAUUUUGUGUAAACAUUUUGUCAUUUGUAAACUAUAAAUGACUUGGAUUCUACAUUGUAACUGAUGUGGUGUUCUAUAAGGUGGUUUCAAU